AGUUUGUACCACGGCUCAGGAUGAACGCUAGCUACAGGCUUAACACAUGCAAGUCGAGGGGCAGCGGUAUCGAAAGCUUGCUUUCGGUAGCCGGCGACCGGCGCACGGGUGAGUAACGCGUAUCGAACCUGCCUCAUACUCGGGAAUAGCCUUGCGAAAGUAAGAUUAAUGCCCGGUGUUUUCAGAGUCCCGCAUGAGGCUUUGAACAAAGAUUUAUCGGUAUGAGAUGGCGAUGCGUCCCAUUAGCUUGUUGGCGGGGUAACGGCCCACCAAGGCAUCGAUGGGUAGGGGUUCUGAGAGGAAGGUCCCCCACAUUGGAACUGAGACACGGUCCAAACUCCUACGGGAGGCAGCAGUGAGGAAUAUUGGUCAAUGGGCGGAAGCCUGAACCAGCCAAGUAGCGUGCAGGAAGACGGCCCUCCGGGUUGUAAACUGCUUUUAGUUGGGAAUAAAACGGGGCUCGUGAGCCCCCUUGCAUGUACCAUCAGAAAAAGGACCGGCUAAUUCCGUGCCAGCAGCCGCGGUAAUACGGAAGGUCCGGGCGUUAUCCGGAUUUAUUGGGUUUAAAGGGAGCGCAGGCGGACCUUUAAGUCAGCUGUGAAAUACGGCGGCUCAACCGUCGAACUGCAGUUGAUACUGGAGGUCUUGAGUGCACACAGGGAUGCUGGAAUUCAUGGUGUAGCGGUGAAAUGCUCAGAUAUCAUGAAGAACUCCGAUCGCGAAGGCAGGCAUCCGGGGUGCAACUGACGCUGAGGCUCGAAAGUGCGGGUAUCAAACAGGAUUAGAUACCCUGGUAGUCCGCACAGUAAACGAUGAAUACUCGCGGUUUGCGAUACAGUGUAAGCCGCCAAGCGAAAGCGUUAAGUAUUCCACCUGGGGAGUACGCCGGCAACGGUGAAACUCAAAGGAAUUGACGG
rnacentral:rRNA from 1 species